UACGUAGGGUGCGAGCGUUAAUCGGAAUUACUGGGCGUAAAGCGUGCGCAGGCGGUUUUGUAAGCCAGAUGUGAAAGCCCCGGGCUUAACCUGGGAAUGGCAUUUGGGACUGCAAGGCUUGAGUGCGGCAGAGGAGACUGGAAUUCCUGGUGUAGCAGUGAAAUGCGUAGAUAUCAGGAGGAAUACCGAUGGCGAAGGCAGGUCUCUGGGCUGACACUGACGCUCAUGCACGAAAGCGUGGGGAGCAAACAGGA
rnacentral:rRNA from 1 species